AACGAACGCUGGCGGCAGGCCUAACACAUGCAAGUCGAACGAGAAGCCACCUUCGGGUGGUGGACAGUGGCAGACGGGUGAGUAACGCGUGGGAACGUGCCUUUCGGUUCGGAGUAACCCAGGGAAACUUGGGCUAAUACCGGAUACGCCCUCCGGGGGAAAGAUUCAUCGCCGAAAGAUCGGCCCGCGUCGGAUUAGCUAGUUGGUGGGGUAAUGGCUCACCAAGGCGACGAUCCGUAGCUGGUCUGAGCGGAUGACCAGCCACACUGGGCCUGAGACACGGCCCAGACUCCUACGGGAGGCAGCAGUGGGGAAUAUUGGACAAUGGGCGAAAGCCUGAUCCAGCCAUGCCGCGUGGGUGAAGAAGGCCUUAGGGUUGUAAACCCCUUUCAGCGGGGAAGAUAAUGACGGUACCCGCAGAAGAAGUCCCGGCUAACUCCGUGCCAGCCGCCGCCCGUAA
rnacentral:rRNA from 1 species